UACAGAGGUCUCAAGCGUUGUUCGGAUUCAUUGGGCGUAAAGGGUGCGUAGGUGGCGCGUUAAGUCAGGUGUGAAAUUUCGGAGCUUAACUCCGAAACUGCAUUUGAUACUGGCGUGCUUGAGGACUGGAGAGGAGACUGGAAUUUACGGUGUAGCGGUGAAAUGCGUAGAUAUCGUAAGGAAGACCAGUGGCGAAGGCGGGUCUCUGGACAGUUCCUGACGCUGAGGCACGAAGGUCAGGGGAGCAAACGGG
rnacentral:rRNA from 1 species